AUGCAAGAAGAUAUUUUUCUAAAACCCGCCCUACUAGUAGGAAAAUCCUUUAUUCAUACAUGGACAGACAAUGGACAAGAUGAACAAUGGAGAGGAAAAAUUUAUUCUUAUGAUGGAGGCCUAUUUGAGGUUAUAAUGACAGUUCAUAAUUGGAUGACUAAUAACACUAUCCAACUAAGAUAUUUCACAAAACAUUCCCAGAUUUGUUUCUCUUCUGAAUCCUUUUCAACAAACCCAAUCUUACUAUUUGUCACUGUCUCUAAUCUUACAUGUAUAACUACAUGUACGAUAUUGAUCUUAUCACAUAUUAAAAUCUACAGGGACACAUUAAAAAUUCUACCCUACUCUAUUUUCCAAGAAUAAAAUUCAUACAAUGUAAAUCAUUAAUUUGAAACCCAGUUUAACUUAUUAAAUCAGACCUGCAUGCAGAUAAUAUUAACAAUUACUUGGUGUAUUGAUGGUCACAGUAUGGGUUGCAUGUAUUUUUUUUAUGUAUGAUUAAGUGCACUCAUAUUAUAAGAACUUUUAUGAUUUAUUUAAAUAGCAAUUAAUUAAAUUAUUCUCUUGUUUGGUGUAUGAAGACCAUAAAGGUUAUACAAAAGAUUAUUUAAUUGAAUAAAGUUUUCCUUAAUUUGGAAGUUAUAUCAUGGGAAGCAGUUUUGUUGAAUGAUGAUAUUAAUAUAAUGGUGAUCUGUUUUGGAGGUGGAGGGAGCCAGAGUACCAAUAGAACAUGUUGAAAGGAUAGGUGUUGGAUAUUUUUAAAUGAGCAGAAAAACAGAACAUUGACACUUUCUGUCAUCACACAUAUGAUUGUAAAAUGUCUUCAGCGAUAUGAAUAUUUCAAGAAUAAUAUUGAAAAUAUCAAUAUUCAACCAUAUAUAAAAUACAUUGCUAUAUAUUAUUAUUUAAUUUUGCAGGUUCAAUAUAAUGAUAAAGAUGGCAAAUUUAACCAAGAUUCAGAGUUGUACGAAUUGACUUGUGAGGAGAUGAAAACAGAUUUUACUGCUGGAUAUUUUGUUUUUGAAGGUAUUAUGAUUAAUUUAAGUACAAUGUCUCAUGAUGUACGUCAAGUCAUGUGCAUGUUUAUUCUUUUACUGUUUAAUUUUCAAAAUGAUAAGGUAAUACAUCUAUAAUGGUAAUUAAUGUUGACCGAAUUGAAGAAUUCAUUUAACUACAGAAUAAUAUUAUUCAAAUUUGUUUAUAUACAUGUAUUUUAAUUGUAUUUUCUUUUCUUUUCCAGAACAUGCAUGAAACAGACUAUAGUAAUAAAAGUGGUGAGUGAAACAUUGAGUUGUUCCUCUUUGAAUGAAAAAAAUAUUUUGAAAAAAAUGAGUUGUUCCCCUUCUAUUCAUUUGUGCUAUAAAUAAAAAAAAUUUAAGAAUUGUUUUCUCAGUAAGGCAAUAACAUCCAAUCAAAUGCUUGCUUGUAUAAAUCUUUAGCUGUAGAUAGCUAAAUGAGAACACUUAUUUCAUUGGUUAUAGUUAAUAUUUACAAAUUUAGGUAGAAAGGCUAAAACAGUUAAACCAUGUGUUUUGAGGUAGUUUAACAUCAAUUUUAACAAGCCAUGGCCAUGUUCCAUAGAAAACACCAUAGAUUUGUCUUUGUCGAUGUGGAAAUGGACAAUGCAUUGAUGGUAAUCUUUUCAAAUGUUUAGCCAGUUCAGCCCGUAUGAUCAAACGUUCAGCCCAAUGUCAAGUUUAUUUGUGAAAGUACUCACAGGCACUUUUUUCUAUCCAUAUGAAGGUCGACUAUAUCCAUCUUCUACUUUAUAGUCGACCUUCAUAGGGAUAGAUACAUGUAGAAAGAAGUGGCACCACCUCAACACAACUCAUCACAAUACAUUCUCUAAUGAAAGCUUGAAGGUACUUCAUUAUAUAAAAUAUAAAGCAUUGCCUCCCGUUAUGUACUCCCAUCUGCAUGUAUAUCUGACAUCUGUUUAAACACAUACAUGUAUCACAUAUUAAAAAAGAAGAUGUGGUAUGAUUGCCAAUGAGACAACUAUCCACAAAAGACCAAAAUGACACAAUGCAUGAUAUGAGCAGUUUUGAUUCUUCCCUCGGCCCAACUUCUAGUCAUUACAUUGCCAUGUUUACUUUGUAUAUAUACAUUUGUACAUCUAAAUAAAAAAUAAGAAGAUGCAUAAUAUGAGCAGUCUUGAGACUUCUCACAACCCAACUGCUAGUAAUUACAUUGCCAUGUUUACUAUGUAUAUAUAUAUAUAUAUAUAUAUAUAUAUAUAUAUAUAUUCAUCUCAUAAAUAAAAAAAAACAAGAUGCGGUAUGAUUUCAAUUGAGACUUUUAUUUCCCCAAAAAGAGACUAAAUAACAUCCAAGUUAACAAUGUACAGAAGGAGAUGAUUGUUCAAUUAGGACGUCAUUUACAACAGCUUAAUAACCCACAUUUGUAGGGUCAACAGACGUAACUAAUUCAUAGAUAAGAAAUUUAGAUUGGUCUAUAUAUAUAUAUAUAUGUAUAUAUGCUUUGGUAGAUUGUUAUUAGGUUGUUUAGGUAAGCUUCUUCAUUUAAAUUUACAUAUAUAAGAAAGAAGAUGUGGUAUAUAUGAUUGCCAACGAGAGUUUACAUGUUAUGGAAAUGAACAAAGUACAUGUACAUGUGAACAGACAGACAAGCAUUGUUCGAAGAUACACAUGUGACAUAAUAACCAAUUAAUCUUUCUUAGUGCUAUUCAAAAGCAAAAUAUAUCUGAUGUUCAAAUGUGAAUUAAAAAGAAAAAUCUUACCAUUGCACACUGAUUAUAAUUUGGCAGAAUUGAAAGUGCCCCUUUUUUAAGUCUAGAUAAAACACUAUAGAUGUAUAAGAAAAGGAAGAUGUGGUAUGAUUGCCAAUGAGACAACUCUCCACAAGAGACCAAAAUGACAACUAUAUGUCACUGUACGCCCUUUAACAAUGAGCAAAGCCCAUACCGCAUAAUCAGCUAUAAAAGGCCCUAAAAUGACCAUGUAAAACAAUUUACACUGGAAAACUAACAGCCUUAUUUAUAUACAAAAAAUGAAUGAAUGAAUAACAAAUAUAUAUGUAACACAUAAACACACGACAACCACUGAAUUACAGGCUCCUGACUUGGGACAGGCAUAUACACACAUAAUAUAUCAAUGUUAUUACAUUUAGGUUCUGGAUUACCUUUUUUUAUAUGUACAUAUAUAUGUACACAGUUUACACAGUUAAGAGUAGUCCCACGAUAACAUGUUUAACCCUGUCACAUUCUGUAUGUAUGUGCUUGCCCCAAGUCUGGAGAAUGUUAUUCAGUGGUUGCAGUCGUUUGUUGAUGUGUUACUUAUUUGUUUGUUCAUACUUUGUACAUAAAUUAGGCCGUUAGUUUUCUCAUAUGAAUUAUUUUUGAAUUUCAUACCACAUCUUUUUUUAUAUUGACUAUGUAACAUCCAGCAGGAAAUUUAUUUGCAUAUUUAGGAUGAGAACAUGUAUAUUAACCAUGCAUUGCACUAAUCUUACACUCUGAGCUGGACUUUUAAAGUGCUAAAUGAAACAUAAAUUGACAACUACAUGUAUAUGUCCCUGUAUAGCUUUCAACAAUGAUCAAAGCUCAUACCACAUGGUCAGCUAUAAAAGACCCUGAAAUGACAAAUGUUAAACAAUUUAAACAAGAAAACUAACAGCAUAAUUUAUGUCGUCUAUUCACAAAAAAUAAACGAAUAACUAAUUUAUAUGUGACACAUCAACAAACGACAACUACUGAAUUACAGGCUCCUUACUUGGGACAGACACAGGCAUCCAGGAUGUGUUGUGAUACAUGAUCAUUGUGUUGAAAAAGCCAUAUUAUAACAUCUUUUUAUUGCGAAUAUAAAAAAGAAGAUGUGGUAUGAUUGCCAAUGAGACAACUGUCCACAAGAGACCAGAAUGACACAUACAUUAACAACUAUACAAUGUAGGUCACUGUACCGCCUUCAACAAUGAGCAAAUUAUAUACCGCAUAGUCAGCUAUAAAAAGGCCACAAUGUAAAGCAAUUCAAACGAGAAAAGUAACGGCCUUAUUUAUAAAAAAAACAACUUAAUAUUACAUUUUUUUUUUUUUUGCAGUAUUCACAAAAUGCCAAAAAGAAAAGAAGAAAUGUCCCAUCACAAAGAAAGGUCCCAAAAAAACCUAAGCAGUCGUCUGCCAACAGCAGUUUCAAUCUUGACCAUUCAUACACCAGUCAUGAUCAUGUAGACUUAACGACAGCAUGCCUUGAAGAAGAAAUAGAAAUAGGAUUGAUAAAUUCUGCGGAAAUUGAAGACAUCGAACCUAAGCAGUCGUCUGUCAACAGCAGUUUCAAUCUUGACCAUUCAUACACCAGUCAUGAUCAUGUAGACUUAACAACAGCAUGCUUUGAAGAAGAAAUGGAAAUAGGAUUGGUAAAUCCUGCAGAAAUUGAAGACAUUGAACCUAUACAGACACAGCUAGAUCAUGUAGAUGUUGAAGAUAUACAACUAGAAGAGAGCCUUUAUUCUGACCCUGUUAGUUCAACAAUGCCUUAUGAAGAUUUGAAAAGUAAUCUACAGAAAUACCUAAGUACUUCAUAUACACUUGAUCAAAACAGUGACUACAUUCAAAUUAUGCAGUUGUACCCAUCUACAGGCACUGCAUCAGUAAAACUAAAUGUUACCAUUGACCAGAAGUUUGCAGCCAAAGUAUUUGUUCACCGGAUAGAACUUUGCUCUGAUCACCAAUUAUGGAAAGAUUUGCCAACAACAUUUGAUUCAAUUAUUAACAUUCAGUCUUUACUAUCUAAACUUGAGAGCUUCUCUGUGUGUGUUGGGAACUAUGAAAAUGACCUUAUCGAUGUAAUACCAAUUGGCAGCGCAGUGCAACAUGCUAAACCUGCUUCAACAAACUGUCAUGGUUAUAGAGAGGGUGAUUUCGGUGCAGUCAAGGGAACUAUAUCAUAUUCAUCAACAGUCCGCAAUGUUCAAUGUGCACUCCUUGUGCAAGGUCACAGAUGUUACCAGUGCAGUCAACUGAGACGUAUUUUAGUAGGCAGGAAGUACAGACAAGAAGAAAAGCAACGCAAAACUCAGGAAACCUCAGGCCCAACUGACUAUCUUCACAGUAAGAUGCAGCACAGCAAUAUGUCAAAGCUACAGCUGAUAGAAAAAAUUCACCAACAGAAAGACAAAAUUACAGAUCUGCAGAAUGAGAUUCUACGCACUAAAAACCAGUUUCAACGAGAGAUGGCAAGCAAAGGAGUUACACUAGACUUUAGCCAAUCACUUGAAAUUAAAGAUACCAUGGCAACAUGCAAUGCUGAGAUGGAAAAAGCAUGUCCUGAUGAAAAUUCAUAUCAAAGGUUGUUCUGGACUGAACAAAUGAAGUGUAUGAAUCUACAGUCAACAAAGGGUAUGCGAUGGCAUCCUAUGAUUUUGAGAUGGUGUCUCUAUCUCCGUCAAAAGUCGUCGUCAGCAUAUGAUGCCCUGAGAGAUUCCGGAUUCAUCACACUACCAAGUUCCAGAACCCUGUUUGAUUACUCUCAUUAUACCCGGAGUGACAACGGAUUUUUACCUGAUGUCAUUAAAGUCCUGAAGGAAGAAGCUACCAAAAGAGAUAUGUAUAGCACAGAGGAUGUUUGGAAAAAUUAUGUAGGAAUUCUCUUUGAUGAGAUAAAAAUCAAGUCUGACCUAGUUUAUGACAAGCAUACAGGGGAACUAAUCGGUUAUUGCAAUCUCGACAAAGUUGGCAACCAAAUUAUGGACAUGGAAAGGAGUUUUAAAGACAGUCCAUCUAAUGACAUUGCAAAAUACAUGCUGGUCUUAAUGGUAAGAGGUGUGGCUACAGAUCUGAAGUUUCCUUUGGCUGGGUUUGCAACACUAAGCAUUACAGCAGACUUUCUGUAUCCCAUAAUCUGGAAAGCGAUACGCAUAUUAGAGACAAGUGCUGCUCAACUUAAAGUUUUAUUCCUAACCUGUGAUGGUGCAUCAGCAAACCGUAAAUUUUUCAAUCUUCACGGACAAGUUAAUGACUUUGUUUACUUCACAGACAAUCCGUUUUCAGAAGAUGGCAGGAAAAUUUACUUUGUGUCAGAUGUUCCCCAUUUAAUUAAGACUACACGUAACUGCUACAGCAAUUCAUUUUCACACCUGAACACUCGCAAAUUGUGGAAUAAUGGAAAAGACAUAUCCUGGAUUCAUUUGUUGACCAUGUUUGAGCAACAUUGUGAGAUGUCACUUUACACUCCAUGUCCAAAACUGACAAGAAGCCACCUUGACCUAACACCAUUUGGACGCAUGAAAGUGAAUUUAGCUGCACAGGUAAGAAUUAUAAUCAUGUAUGGAUUAAGUUUACAAAUUUAUACAUGUAUAUGAGCCUUAGUUUAUAUGGUACGAAAUCAAAAUAAUUUAGUCUUUCUGAUUUUAUAAUGCAUUUUGAAUAUUGAUAUUUUAGCCCAACAUUAAUCAUGUAAAUGUGUGUUACAUGCAUAUACAUUUGUACACAAAUAUUUGUUUCUAAAAUAGCAGGGGUCAUAUAUCAUAUUGUACGAUCCUUUCAUUCAGAUAUACACAUUAUAAACAAGGCUCAUACAUUGUAUGUUAGACACUUAACCAGCCAUCUUUUGUUGGUGGGUCCCACUGCAGGCUUUAGAAACAAUUUCUGGGGAUUUCAAAAUCAAUCUCCCACAUGAUGACUGGUUUGUGUCUUGCGAUUUUCAUCUGAUAUGUUCAUAAAAAAAGACUAUUGGGCAGCAAAAACAUCAUAUACAUGUAUCUCAAACUUUGAUAGCAUAUUAUAUACUGUCGUACAGCAUGUACAGAGUAAAUUAUUAUUUGCACUAUUGACAUCUUGUUUCAUUGUUGCAAAAUAAAUGUACAGUAUAACUUGUACAAUGUAUAAUAAAUGAACAUGUACCAUAUAUAUGCAUUUGUACAUGCUUGUAUUAACUAUACAUGUAAAUUCACAAAUAGUACUUUUUGAAGAAGGAACAGGAAUGUCCGUUUGAUAAUCAUGAAAAUUGCUACUUUAGGGAAACCGUCUUAUAUCAUAAAUCAUAACUGCAUAAUAAUGCGAGUUCUGGUUAUUGUUAUUCAAUAGGAGUCCAAUUAAAAAAACUUGCAUUAAUCAUGUUAAUUUCUGAAUUUACAGUUAUUUAUCAUCAUUAUCAUGUAUAUGUAUGAUUUGUUACAAUUCUUUUAAAAUGGAUAAUCAAUUUCAGGUGCUGAGUUCUACUGUGGCAAAUGCUUUGGAGAUGAUGUACGGUGAUAAUGUUAGUGAAACAGUUAAUUUUCUCCGGAUAAUUGACAAAUUUUUUGACUGUCUAAAUGUCAGAAACCUCUAUGAGGGACGAAAUAAGCGGAAUCCGAAUUUGAAUCCAUACACCAAUAUAAAUGACGAAAGGCUUCAGUGGCUUACUGGUGACUUUUUAAGUUAUUUUGAUUUGUGGGAGCAAUCUGUUAUGCAGAGACCAGGUGAAUUUACAAACAAGCAGAGGAAAGGUAUGCUUUUAAGUAGACAAACAUUAACUGGUUUGAAGAUAAGUGUGCUUUCCAUUGUGGCAUGUGUCAAAUUUCUUCUUGAGAUUGGAGCUAAGUUUGUUUUAACCCACAACUUCAACCAAGACCCACUCGAACAACAUUUUGGGCAUUAUAGACAUAGAGCUGGUGACAACUCAAAUCCAACUGUGUAUGAUGUACGACACAUGAUGACGACAAUGCGAGCCGUAGGAGCCCAGGCCUUGGCACCACGACACUCUAACAUUAACAACAAGGAAAACAGAAAUAUGGUCAUUGACAACAGCAAGUUACCAAAACGUGGAAAUUACUUUUGA
rnacentral:sRNA from 1 species